rnacentral:rRNA from 1 species
UACGGAGGGUGCAAGCGUUAUCCGGAUUCACUGGGUUUAAAGGGUGCGUAGGUGGAGAGGUAAGUCAGUGGUGAAAUCUCCGGGCUUAACCCGGAAACUGCCAUUGAUACUAUCUUUCUUGAAUACCGUGGAGGUGAGCGGAAUAUGUCAUGUAGCGGUGAAAUGCUUAGAUAUGACAUAGAACACCAAUUGCGAAGGCAGCUCACUACACGAAUAUUGACACUGAGGCACGAAAGCGUGGGGAUCAAACAGG